rnacentral:lncRNA from 1 species
AUGUUCGCACAGACAGGGAGCUCAGUCCUUCUACGCGUGGAGAUAUAUGAAGAAAAUGACAUGGCUGAGUGGAAGAUUGGAAACCAAGUCAUAUAUAACCAAGUGAAAUCUUUUUCGCCCCUUUUUAAAGAGAAGGUGGAAUUAGAGGGAAACAAUUCUCUGAGGGUGAAGAACCUGACGUUCAGGGACUCAGGAGAAUACGUCUACGCUCAAACAAAAGAUUGGACAACAACUGUAGUCAAGUAUCACUUAUUUGUGCAAGAAGCUGUACCAAGCCCCAUCCUCGCAGUGGUGAAGCUCCACGCGUCCCCGGACUGCUCGUUCACGGUGAACUGCUCCGUCCCCGGCGGCUGGAUCGGGUGCAGCAGCAAUGAGACGCAGUGCUGGUCGUCCCCUCCGUCCAUGGUCAGCAUGUCCGUCCAGAAGAACCACAGCCACAUCGAGUGCGUGGCCAGCAACAACGUCAGCAGUAGCUCCAGCUGCAGGAGCUUGGAGGAACUGUGCUCUCCCCAGAACUCAACAGGCAGCACCCCACAGAAGCCCUCCGAGGAGGCUCUGAAGAUCGCGGGCUCGUGCUGUGCCGCUGUGGUUCUGCUGGUGUGUGCGGCUCUCAUCGGAACGAGGUGCAGACAGUCUCGGCGAAAAGACCGGCUGCUGGAGAACGCAGCCAUGCCGGCGGCUGAGACCACCGGAGCUGCGCCGCCAGCGAGCACCAUUUACAGCGUGGUCAACAAGGCGGCCUACCUGCCCACGGUCCCGGUGGAGGUCCACCGAGUUCCGAGGAACAAGGGCUGUCCCGUGGACAUGGCAGGGGACCAGGGGCCUGAGAAUGACGUCAGCACCGUUUACUGCUUGGCGUCCAAGACAGAGGAACAGCAGCGACCCCCGGAGGUCAGCAGCGGCAGCGACGCGGCCCAGCCCAACACGAUCUACUACACCCUGGGACAGGUGGUGCCAAAGUGCAAAUAACGGAUUUAAACAUAUAUAUUUAUUGUACAUAUAAAUAAAUGUUUGCUUUAUGUAUUUUUUUUUAUAAAU